rnacentral:rRNA from 1 species
GAGGGAUAGCUCAAAUUUUAAUCUGUUCGGUUCUACCUGACAGAGUUGUAAUUUAAAGANACGUUUUCUGCGUCUUGAGUUAAUCAAAAUCCUUUGGAAUGAGGUAUCAUGGAGGGUGACAAUCCCGUUCAUGAUUAAUUCUAAGAUGCUUUAUGAUGCGUUUUCGAAGAGUCGAGUUGUUUGGGAUUGCAGCUCAAAAUGGGAGGUAAAUUUCUCCUAAGGCUAAAUAUUGGCGAGAGACCGAUAGCGAACAAGUACCGUGAGGGAAAGAUGAAAAGAACUUUGAAAAGAGAGUUAAACAGUACGUGAAAUUGUUGAAAGGGAAACGAUUGAAGUCAGUCGUACCAGCGGGAAAUCAACCUUUCGAGUGGGGUUUUGGAGUUUUGAAGUGUGUCAAAACCUUUGAGAUUUCAAAAUAUUCGCUCUUUUGGUGUACUUUCUCGUGGGUAGGUUAACAUCGAUUUUGAUCAUCAUAAAAAGAUUGGAGGAAUGUAGCUUCGAUCUUGUAUUGAAGUGUUAUAGCCUUUGGUAAAUGUGAUGAUUAGGAUCGAGGAUUGCAACGAAUACCCUUUUGGGCUAUCCGCCUGAUCUCUGAUACGUGGCCUUGGUAUCGAAAGCUUGCUUAUGGKAAWNAAGGUAUUACGGUCAAAAGGGUAGAACGGAUUACAUUCCUUAAGGAUGUUGACGUAAUGGCUUUAAACCACCCGUCUUG